rnacentral:piRNA from 1 species
UGACCUCACUAACGAAGAGAAGGAUGGA